rnacentral:rRNA from 1 species
AGAUUGAACGCUGGCGGCAGGCCUAACACAUGCAAGUCGAGCGGCAGCACGGGUACUUGUACCUGGUGGCGAGCGGCGGACGGGUGAGUAAUGCCUAGGAAUCUGCCUGGUAGUGGGGGAUAACGCUCGGAAACGGACGCUAAUACCGCAUACGUCCUACGGGAGAAAGCAGGGGACCUUCGGGCCUUGCGCUAUCAGAUGAGCCUAGGUCGGAUUAGCUAGUUGGUGAGGUAAUGGCUCACCAAGGCGACGAUCCGUAACUGGUCUGAGAGGAUGAUCAGUCACACUGGGACUGAGACACGGUCCAGACUCCGUACGGGAGGCAGCAGGUGGGGAAUAUUGGACAAGUGGGACGAAAGCCUGACUCCGAGCCAUGCCGCGUGUGUGAAGAAGGUCUUAGGAUUGAAAGCUAGUUUAAGGUUGGAAGGAAGGCAAGUUACCUAAAUACGUAUCGUUAGUUUUGACGUUACGAC